rnacentral:ribozyme from 12 species
UAAAGCAACAUACGAAAAAAAAGUAAAAGAAACAAAGAAAAGAAAAGCGGAUGGUGUUCACGUUGAGCUCUAUCGCAUCGUAUUUGUUUUCUUCGCUUUUUUGCAGACAUUCCGUUUUUUUUUUUAUUCCAA